rnacentral:rRNA from 1 species
UACAGAGGUCUCAAGCGUUGUUCGGAUUCAUUGGGCGUAAAGGGUGCGUAGGCGGCCAACUAAGUCAGACGUGAAAUCCCUCGGCUUAACCGGGGAACUGCGUCUGAAACUGGAUGGCUUGAGAUUGGGAGAGGGAUGCGGAAUUCCAGGUGUAGCGGUGAAAUGCGUAGAUAUCUGGAGGAACACCGGUGGCGAAGGCGGCAUCCUGGACCAACACUGGACGCUGAGUGAGCGAAAGCCAGGGGAGCAAA